rnacentral:rRNA from 1 species
CCCUUGGGCGGCGGCUUACAGUGCAAGUCGAACGGUGAAGCAGGAGCUUGCUCUGUGGAUCAGUGGCGAACGGGUGAGUAACACGUGAGCAACCUGCCCCUGACUCUGGGAUAAGCGCUGGAAACGGCGUCUAAUACUGGAUAUGAGCUGCGAUCGCAUGGUCAGCAGUUGGAAAGAUUUUUCGGUCUGGGAUGGGCUCACGGCCUAUCAGCUUGUUGGUGAGGUAAUGGCUCACCAAGGCGUCGACGGGUAGCCGGCCUGAGAGGGUGACCGGCCACACUGGGACUGAGACACGGCCCAGACUCCUACGGGAGGCAGCAGUGGGGAAUAUUGCACAAUGGGCGAAAGCCUGAUGCAGCAACGCCGCGUGAGGGAUGACGGCCUUCGGGUUGUAAACCUCUUUUAGCAGGGAAGAAGCGAAAGUGACGGUACCUGCAGAAAAAGCGCCGGCUAACUACGUGCCAGCAGCCGCGGUAAUACGUAGGGCGCAAGCGUUAUCCGGAAUUAUUGGGCGUAAAGAGCUCGUAGGCGGUUUGUCGCGUCUGCUGUGAAAUCCCGAGGCUCAACCUCGGGUCUGCAGUGGGUACGGGCAGACUAGAGUGCGGUAGGGGAGAUUGGAAUUCCUGGUGUAGCGGUGGAAUGCGCAGAUAUCAGGAGGAACACCGAUGGCGAAGGCAGAUCUCUGGGCCGUUACUGACGCUGAGGAGCGAAAGGGUGGGGAGCAAACAGGCUUAGAUACCCUGGUAGUCCACCCCGUAAACGUUGGGAACUAGUUGUGGGGUCCAUUCCACGGAUUCCGUGACGCAGCUAACGCAUUAAGUUCCCCGCCUGGGGAGUACGGCCGCAAGGCUAAAACUCAAAGGAAUUGACGGGGACCCGCACAAGCGGCGGAGCAUGCGGAUUAAUUCGAUGCAACGCGAAGAACCUUACCAAGGCUUGACAUAUACGAGAACGGGCCAGAAUGGUCAACUCUUUGGACACUCGUAAACAGGUGGUGCAU